rnacentral:rRNA from 1 species
UACGGGGGGAGCAAGCGUUGUUCGGAUUUACUGGGCGGAAAGGGCGCGUAGGCGGCCACCGCAAGUCGGUUGUGAAAUCUCUGGGCUUAACCCAGAAAGGUCAACCGAUACUGCGGGGCUAGAGUGCAGAAGGGGCAACUGGAAUUCUCGGUGUAGCGGUGAAAUGCGUAGAUAUCGAGAGGAACACCUGCGGCGAAGGCGGGUUGCUGGGCUGACACUGACGCUGAUGCGCGAAAGCUAGGGGAGCGAACGGG